rnacentral:rRNA from 1 species
UAGGGAAUCUUCCGCAAUGGGCGAAAGCCUGACGGAGCAACGCCGCGUGAGUGAUGAAGGUCUUCGGAUCGUAAAACUCUGUUAUUAGGGAAGAACAAAUGUGUAAGUAACUAUGCACGUCUUGACGGUACCUAAUCAGAAAGCCACGGCUAACUACGUGCCAGCAGCCGCGGUAAUACGUAGGUGGCAAGCGUUAUCCGGAAUUAUUGGGCGUAAAGCGCGCGUAGGCGGUUUUUUAAGUCUGAUGUGAAAGCCCACGGCUCAACCGUGGAGGGUCAUUGGAAACUGGAAAACUUGAGUGCAGAAGAGGCAAGUGGAAUUCCAUGUGUAGCGGUGAAAUGCGCAGAGAUCUGGAGGAACACCAGUGGCGAAGGCACCUUUCUGGUCUGUAACUGACGCUCAUGUGCGAAAGCGUGGUGAUCAAACAGG